rnacentral:lncRNA from 1 species
GAAUAUAGAGAUUCUUUAUAGAGUAGUAUAAGAAUAGAGAUUGAUGAACCUGAGGUCAUUUCAAAAGAAAUCUUUUAAAAUUACUCCCUGUGUCAAAUUUUCAAAGUAGCUAGAGUCCAGGUUCUAAAAAGUUUAAAUCUCUAUGGAUUUGCUAUGAGGGCUUAAGUCUAAAUGUGUCAACAGAUUCCAGAAUAGUUGACUGGAAAACUGUUUAUUUGAUCCUAACAAAUUACACUUUUGAUCUUUCAAAUAAUCACACUACAAUUUCUAAUUUAUGGUAAAAUCUACUGCAAGAUAUGGAAAGUGAAGGCCAUGGUUUACUUUCUAGAGCUCAUGAGCACAUUCAGUACAAAUAGCAGUUUAGAUUGAAAUAGGAACCUUGCUAAGGGAACUAUAUAAUUGUCCCAGGGAACUACACUUUUUGCCUAGACCUCCAUCCACUGUUCCUCACCUAACUUCUUAAGACCUACACAUCCUCCUCUAGGUAUCUAAA